rnacentral:lncRNA from 1 species
ACACACACACACACACACACACACACACACACACACACACACACUGCUCUGGCUCUACUGCAGCUUCACGGUCAUUGUUGGUUCGACCACCUCUAAUUCAAUCAUGUCCCUCGAGCCAUGGGGAUGCAUCGCCAGAGGUCCCAUCCACUAUAAACACAUUUAGGGAUUAUUUAUUUUUAGCUUUAGCUCAGUACUCUCCUGUGUUCGGACCCUAGCUAACUGCAGCUACCCCAGAUGGUUCUGCUAAGGUGGCUGUUUCUGGAUUCCUGCAGAUUGUGGGUUGUAAGUGAAGAAAGGGUUUCUCUCUUUUGGCCUGUCCUUCAUUAUGAGAGAGGUAUUUAUCACAAUCAGACUGACUAACGGAGCUUAACCCUCUGGUCCUCCACACACAGCACUAUGCUACUGUUCUAUGAUGCUGAAGAAAAAAAAAGGUUUUACGUUGUUUACAUGGAACAAGCAAGUGUAGUCAGAGUAUCAGUUACCUUACGCAGCUUCCUCCAUAGCUCAGAGUGGACUUUGGUGGGUUUUACCAGGGGCAAAUCUGAAAUGUCAUCCUAUUUCCUAAGUAGCAUUAUGUUUGGCCGGAGACGGUGUCAUUUUGGACACAACGCAGCAUUGAUGUUUUACUGGCAGAUGGAUGUGUUACUGGCAGACGGAUGUGUUACUGGCAGAAUCUGCUUAGACAAAAACACACUGUAGCCCUUCUCUCAGAUGUAGUCAUCUGUGAAUGAAUCACAUUCACUGAUUCACUGGACCUCAGUGCCUCAGUGUAUUUGGCCUCAUUUGAAUAAGAGGUCAGAGAGAGGACAGAACACCCCAUGUCCCCCCUCUCCCUUCACUCCCUAUUCUCCACACAAACCCAACUACAACUCCUAUUUCCCAGCCUGCACCUCUCUUCCUGUCUGAGUGCUGACCCAGGGGUCGGUAGCUGUCAGUCACGUCCCUCAGCUGGCCUCCGAGGCUCUCCUCUCAUGAGCCGCUGGCCACAGACUGGGCUCUGUGAGGGGACCUCUGAAGGAAAGGCCCAGGCCGGUCAUAUGGGAUCAUCUCUGUGCAUUCAUGGUGUGUAAUUUAAUUACCCCUUCCCUCCUCUUUCUCAUGUUUCCUUCUCCUAUCCUAAUGCAAACCCCAGGUUGGACCGACCGUCACCCUGGUCUAUAGUGAGAGGAAGGGCUUCAGGGGCUGACAGCCAGACAAAGACAGACACAUGUCGACAAUGUGUAUACUCAGGCCCUGACAGAGUUUGGGUUAAUAGUGGGAGUCUCGUAUGAGGAUCGACUGACGAGCAGCUUGUCAACUCUCCAUCUACAUGCUGUUGGAGGAUCAGGAGGAUCACCCACCAUGUCCAUGGAAGGAAGAGGACUAAGACCACAACCAUGGAGGGCAGCAAGGAAGUGGAGAGGGCCAGGACAAGGCAGGGGGAGGAGAGUGCAGGGGAGCCCUUAUCCAGUAUCGGGCAGAGAAGGGGGAAGGGGCAGGAGAAGGGAGCCCUGGGACUCCCAACAGGCUGAACCGAUUUCCUGUGUGGUGUCAUGCCAAGGCAAGGCAGACAGAUGGAGAGAGAUAGACAGCAAACCACAGAAGAAGAUUAAAAUAUGUGGUUUUCGGUGAUGUCACGUGUGCUCCCCCUCCGGCCUCUAGGUCUCCAGGCUGCUCGUUAUGGCGCACACCUGUCACCAUCGUUACGUGCACCUGCGCAUCAUCAGACUCACCUGGACUCCAUCACUUCCCUGAUUACCUUCCCUAUAUAUGUCACUCCCUUUGGUUCCUUCACCAGGCCUUAUUGUUUCUGAUUCUGUGUCAUGUCUUUGCGUUGUUCGUGGUUUCUUGUUUUGUAUUAUGUUACGUUUAUUUAUUAAAACACACUCCC